CUGGGAUCUGGGGUAUGGAGGUGGGUUGGGGUGGAGGGUCUAUGCCAGAAAUGGGGUCCCACCUUCUCAUUCCAUUUCUGGCUCUGCAGGGAAGACCCCUGUUGAGGAGCUUAAUUACCUUCCCCUCCCCACCCAAUUAAACACGCAAAUGAGCUCAUUGGAGCUUUGUCGACCCCUUUCUGGAGAGAGGAUGAGGAUCAUGAGGGGAAGUUGGGAGCGUGAGAUCAGGUGGAGAAGUCUCUUCAGUCAGGAGAGGCUGAAAACCUGGAAGGCUGUGGCCUGACCUGAGGUGGCAGAGCCCACCCUCUGGACCUAACUGGUCAUAGCACUGGGAGCCUUGCUCCCCGGGAGGGAGGAGGCUGGGGCGUGGGGCAACACCCCUCAACUGGCUCCUCAUGGGGCAAGUCACUUGACCUCCCUGGGCCUCCGAAAAGAGAGAAGAGGGCCCAGGACACUUGCUAGGGCUUGCUGAGCUCCUUCUCAGUCUGAUGGAGCCACCAGUCUGCACCAUGGCCAGGCGCCUGCACAGCUUUCCGCUUGUCCAGGUGUGGCGUGUGAAGCCACAGAGGUGCCAGGUCUUUUGUGUCCCUCCCUCUGCUGGGCUCCAUUUCUCACCUCUGACCUUUCCAACACCCAGGGAGGAAGGAACUGAGGAGAAAAUCAUAUGUACUCCUUCCUCAGCUUCCUCCCCACCACCAUAUUAUAUAUAAUUAAACACGGAGAGGACCUGAAUAGAGAUGCUAAAUUGCAGUUUGCAAUAAACACCAUGGAGCCAAUUUUCCUAAAGUGGGAUUGACAAGCACCUGCCUCUCUCUCACUCCUGACUCUCUCACUCCUCUCUCUCUCCCCUCCAACCCCCAGGUCCUGAGGAGGGCUUGUCUGGCAGAGACCUCAGCACAGCCUGGCUCCUGAGGUAUCUGUAGCCCCACCCUGGUCCUGGCUCCUGGUCAUUAGAGGGUGGCCUCUCAGCAGAAGCUCUGGCCUCAGCAUCCAUCCAUUCACCCACGUUGCUGAGCUGUGGCCCCACCGAGGGGGCCUUGUGUGGGUCACAGGUCCAGGCGCUGGGCUGUGGGUGGGUGUGCAGCAUAAGGAUUCCCAAGCCUCAGACUCCUCCUCACACCCUGCGCCUCAGCCUCAUUUUCCUCGUUCAGGGACCCCUGGGGCUGGGCCCUGCACACGGUUAAAUAACCUGUGUCCUUUCCUCUAAACCUGACAUCUUGUCACCCAUGGUCCUCUCUUCCAUACCCUCAGCAUUCCUGCUCUGCUCUGACUCUGCUGUCCCCUUGGCUUAGUGGACGACAUGCAUGGAGAACCAGCGAUGUUGCCGCCCCUAUUCUGGCCCUGGGUGCAGAGAUGCAGGAAGCACAGGCCUUGCCUCUGGAUUCCAUGACCUUCUUGAGUGGCUCCAACCUCCUGAACAGCUCCUGGGAGUGGCAACUCCUUCUGUCUCCAGGGUCACUACCCCCAUGUCACCUGAGUUGCUGCCACAGCCUAACCAGCCACUCUGUCUCCUCUGAGCUGCUCUCCACUCUCGAGGGUGGAUAGCAGCCCUGGAGCUGAGUGAUCUUUUCAAACU
rnacentral:lncRNA from 1 species